rnacentral:rRNA from 1 species
AGCGAACGCUGGCGGCAGGCUUAACACAUGCAAGUCGAACGGGCAUCCUUCGGGAUGUCAGUGGCAGACGGGUGAGUAACACGUGGGAACGUGCCCCUUCGGUUCGGAAUAACUCAGGGAAACUUGAGCUAAUACCGGAUACGCCUACGGGAAGGUUACUGCCGAAGAUCGGCCCGCGUCUGAUUAGCUAGUUGGUGGGGUAAGUGGCCGUACCAAGGCGACGAUCAGUAGCUGGUCNGAGAGGAUGAUCAGCCACACUGGGACUGAGACACGGCCCAGACUCCUACGGGAGGCAGCAGUGGGGAAUAUUGGACAAUGGGCGAAAGACCUGAUCCAGCCAUGCCGCGUGAGUGAUGAAGGCCUUAGGUUGUAAAGCUCUUUCGACGGGGGACGAUAAAUGACGGUACCCGUAGAAGAAGCCCCGCUAACUUCGUGCCAGCAGCCGCUAGUAAC